CGGAGACUGAUCCCAGCUGUGAGGAACUGCAGAAAGGCUCUACUUACUGACUUUGAACUCUCAGACACUGACUGUGAAGUUGUGACCUCAGCUGUGAAGUCCAACCCUCAUCUGACAGAGCUGCACCUGUGGCUCGACAAACUGUCUGAUUCAUCAGAGAAGCUUCUGUCUGCUGUACAGGAGAGUCCAAACUGUAAACUGGGUCUGAGACUUACUGCCUUUGGACUCUCAGAC